rnacentral:rRNA from 1 species
GACGAACGCUGGCGGCGUGCCUAACACAUGCAAGUCGAACGGAAAGGCCCUGCUUUUGUGGUGUUCUGGAGUGUCGAACGGGGGAGUAACACGUGAGUAUCCUGCCCUUGACUUUGGGGUAACAUCAGGAAACUGGGGCUAAUAUCGGACAGGACAUCCUGUUGCAUGGUGGGUGUUGGAAAGUUGCGGCGGUUGGGGAUGAACGCGCGGCUUAUCAGCUUGUUGGUGGGGUGGUGGCUUACCAAGGCGCUGACGGGUAGCCGGCCUGCGAGGGUGACCGGGCACAUUGGGACUGAGAGACGGCCCAGACGGCAACGGGGGGCAGCAGGGGGAAAUAUAGCACACUGGGCCGAGGGAGUAUGGAGCGACUUCGCGUGCGGGAUGACUGUCUUCAGGUAGUAACCAGCUUUCGCCUGUGAAGAAGCGUGAGUGACGGUAAUGUAUAAAGAAGCACCGGCUAACUACGUG